rnacentral:rRNA from 1 species
GACGAACGCUGGCGGCGUGCUUAACACAUGCAAGUCGAACGCUGAAGCACCAGCUUGCUGGUGUGGAUGAGUGGCGAACGGGUGAGUAAUACGUGAGUAACCUGCCCUUGACUCUGGGAUAAGCCCGGGAAACUGGGUCUAAUACUGGAUGCUACAUGUCACCGCAUGGUGGUGUGUGGAAAGGGUUUACUGGUCUUGGAUGGGCUCACGGCCUAUCAGCUUGUUGGUGAGGUAAUGGCUCACCAAGGCGACGACGGGUAGCCGGCCUGAGAGGGUGACCGGCCACACUGGGACUGAGACACGGCCCAGACUCCUACGGGAGGCAGCAGUGGGGAAUAUUGCACAAUGGGCGAAAGCCGGAUGCAGCGACGCCGCGGGAGGGAUGACGGCCUUCGGGUUGGAAAACUCUUUCAGCAGGGAAGAAGCCACAAGUGACGGUACCUGCAGAAGAAGCGCCGGCUAACUACGUG